ACCUAAUUUCAGUCUGCUCUCCUUCCCUCUCUGCAUUUUCCUGAAGGCUGGAGACUGCCUAGUGCUGAAACCUGUGGAUACCCUCUCCCAAAACUCUGCCUUCUCCUCCUGUCUGAGGGAACUGGCACUCGGUGCUGCAGAUUUGGCCUCACUCUGGUCCUAGCUGGAGAAGAGCUGGUCGGGCUCAGUAAGUGCAUGUGCCUGCAAAGCAGAACGUCCUUGUGCCCAGGGUCCUGCAAAUGACUGAGCCAUUGAGGAAGAAACGUGCUUCACAAUAUGCCAAGAUAUUGAUGUCUGCCAAACUGGAUACUGCACAUUGCAAGCACAUUCAGAUAAUACCUAGAACUCCACAAAAGCGUUGGUGCUUUAUUCUAUUGCAGAGGCAGAAAAUUACAGAGACAUCCACCUCCCACCCUCUUCAUAAUCUGGGACUUCACUGAACCUGAAGCAAAGGCUGUGAAGAGGAGAAAGACGCAGGAGCAGUAACUACAGGAAGGUGGAAGAACAAAGAAUGACUGUGUGACAGAAGGUGCAACCUCAAGUACAAGUCCUGCCUUUACUUGAUUUAAAGCAUAGAUUAGAACAUCAGUCUUCAAUAUCCAGAGAGAAGACCUAAAAUUUAGAUUGAAAUAAUGCCUAAUAAUUUUUUUUUCUGCAAUAUAAGAGAUGGAUGGAGACAUAAACAAGAAGAACUAGUAGCCAAGUAAUGUGGAACAGUUGCUGGAAUGUUGCACAAAAACCAUAAUGUAGAGUGGUAUGUAGGUCUGCCACAGUCCUGGGAAGUGCCCUCAUUAAAAGCUUUUUAUAUUAUGCUGCAGAACUUGCUUUUCAUAUGAAACACUUGGAGAAUCUGGCUUAUGACCCAAGAUAAAAUGAGAAAAAAAUAUUAAAUAUUCCAAAAUGUCAUGUAGGAGAAUCAGAUCCUGCACACCUUUACACUAGGAGAAUUGAAGGAUUUUUGACACACGUGAAUCUACGCUCAAGAAUACAUGUGUGCACACUGGAAACACUAAUCUUUUUUUAAAUUUGAUUUUUGCCUUGAAGCCUGUCCAGAAGCACAGAAACAGAACUAUCCAAAGGUCACUUGAAAUUGUAUCAACAAACAACAAAGUCUUUGGCAAUAAAAUGUUGAUUUUAUGGAAGGAAAUUGCAGACACCAGUGUCUCCAUUUCUUAGUGUGUUGUACAUGAAAAGAACAAAAUUCAUUUGCAUAGUUAAGAUACGUUUAUGUACUACUGCUGGAAAUGUGAAUUAGUUGGAAAUAUGUCUACUGAUGUUGUGAUAUUAACUUGAAGAUUUCAAGGGCUGAUUUUCAGUACACAUACAGUUAAAAUAAACUUAUAUUUGAGGGUUAAGGAAGUCAAUAAUGUUUAAGUUAAUAAGACUUGUUGAUAACAGGACUAUGCUAAGUGAAAUUGCAGGAAACAUUGGAAUGCUUUUAAUAAAUUGCAUCUUUUAGACUUAGACCUCAAUUAAAUGUCUCUCUGAAUUUCACAGAAAUUGUGUAAAAAAUAGCAGAAUCAAAAUAAAUUCUUAGAAGUGUAAAAUAAAGAGAGAAUUAAAGAAUUUAACCACCUGAAAUAUGUUACUGAACUGAUUAAAUCACCAUUCUUGGAUGAUACCACCAAAUUAGAUGAACGCAGAUCUAUAUUAAACUGUAUAACUGUGUAAGCAGUAAUAGAUUUUGAACUAGAAAUAGUAAUAAUAUUUUUUGUAGAAAUUGAAAUAGAAUGUAAUUAGAAAUUGUGAUGAGGAAAAUAGGAAAACAAAAAAUAAUUCUCACCAUUUAUUUUCCUUUGAAUACAAUGUACACCAUUCACAUAUAAUAAAUACGGUAGGUACAUGCCUUUUGGA